AUUGAACGCUGGCGGCAUGCCUUACACAUGCAAGUCGAACGGCAGCGCGGGAGCAAUCCUGGCGGCGAGUGGCGAACGGGUGAGUAAUAUAUCGGAACGUGCCCAGUAGUGGGGGAUAGCCCGGCGAAAGCCGGAUUAAUACCGCAUGAGACCUGAGGGUGAAAGCGGGGGAUCGCAAGACCUCGCGCUAUUGGAGCGGCCGAUAUCAGAUUAGCUAGUUGGUGGGGUAAAGGCCUACCAAGGCAACGAUCUGUAGUUGGUCUGAGAGGACGACCAGCCACACCGGGACUGAGACACGGCCCAGACUCCUACGGGAGGCAGCAGUGGGGAAUUUUGGACAAUGGGCGCAAGCCUGAUCCAGCAAUGCCGCGUGCAGG
rnacentral:rRNA from 1 species